rnacentral:rRNA from 1 species
GACGAACGCUGGCGGCGUGCUUAACACAUGCAAGUCGAACGAUGAACCACUUCGGUGGGGAUUAGUGGCGAACGGGUGAGUAACACGUGGGCAAUCUGCCCUGCACUCUGGGACAAGCCCUGGAAACGGGGUCUAAUACCGGAUACUGAUCCGCCUGGGCAUCCAGGCGGUUCGAAAGCUCCGGCGGUGCAGGAUGAGCC